rnacentral:sRNA from 1 species
GCAGAAAAUCUCCGUGCCCUCUGAUUGAGCGGCGCAUGUUAUUAUCGUCUCCAGGCUUUUGACCACGGAUGUACUGGCACUGGCCAGGUGAGGCGAUGAGGAAGGUCGGGUUCUCCCGGCCUUUUUUGUU